UCAAAUGAAUAAGAGCACAUGGUGGAUACCUGGGCACCUAGAGACGAAGAAGGGCGUCACUACCGACGAUACGCUCCGGGGAGCUGGAAGUAAGCUUCGAUCCGGAGAUUCCCGAAUGGGGCAACCUCAAGGACUCCCUGCUGAAUUCAUAGGCAGGGUAGAGGAAACCCGGUGAACUGAAACAUCUUAGUAGCCGGAGGAAAAGAAAGCAAACGCGAUUCCCUUAGUAGCGGCGAGCGAAACGGGACCAGCCUAAACCGGAAUUCGUUCCGGGGUUGUGGGACCAUCAAAACGAGAAGCGCAUGUCUGUUAAGCGAAGCAGCUGAAUCCUGCACCAUAGGGGGUGAAAGUCCCGUAGCUGAAAACAACAACGCUCUCGAUGGAAUCCCGAGUAGCAUGGGGCACGUGAAAUCCCGUGUGAAUCAGCGAGGACCACCUCGUAAGGCUACAUACUCCUAGGUGACCGAUAGCGAACUAGUACCGUGAGGGAAAGGUGAAAAGAACCCCCGCAGGGGAGUGAAAAAGAUCAUGAAACCGUGUGCUUACAAGCAGUGGGAGGGGCCUGAGCCCUGACCGCGUGCCUGUUGAAGAAUGAGCCGGCGACUUUUAGCAAGUGGCUUGGUUAAGGUGUUCAACCGGAGCCAGAGCGAAAGCGAGUCUGAAUAGGGCGCAUGUCACUUGUUAAAGACCCGAACCCGGGUGAUCUAACCAUGGCCAGGAGGAAGCUUGGGUGAAACCUUGUGGAAGUCCGAACCGACCGACGUUGAAGAGUCGGCGGAUGAGUUGUGGUUAGGGGUGAAAUACCAGUCGAACUCGGAGCUAGCUGGUUCUCCCCGAAAUGCGUUGAGGCGCAGCGGUCGAUUAAGAUGGGCAGUCUAGGGGUAAAGCACUGUUUCGGUGCGGGCUGCGAGAGCGGUACCAAAUCGUAGCAAACUAAGAAUACUGGACUUGCUUUCAAUCGGCCAGUGAGACAGUGGGGGAUAAGCUUCAUUGUCAAGAGGGAAACAGCCCAGAUCACCAGCUAAGGCCCCAGAAUGGCCGCUCAGUGAUAAAGGAUGUGAGAGUGCCCAGACAACCAGGAGGUUUGCCUAGAAGCAGCCACCCUUGAAAGAGUGCGUAAUAGCUCACUGGUCAAGCGCUCUUGCGCCGAAAAUGAACGGGACUAAGCGGCCUGCCGAAGCUGUGAGAUGGUGAAUCAUCGGUAGGGGAGCGUUCCGCACUAGGGAGAAGCCGACCAGGAAUGGUCUGUGGACGAGGCGGAAGUGAGAAUGUCGGCUUGAGUAACGCAAACAUUGGUGAGAAUCCAAUGCUCCGAAAACCUAAGGGUUCCUUCAGUAGGCUCGUCCAUGGAGGGUGAGUCAGGACCUAAGGAGAGGCCGAAAGGCGUAUCCGAUGGCCAACAGGUUAACAUUCCUGUACUGCAAAUUGUUUGGUACCGAGGGACGGAGAAGGCUAAGUGACCUGGAUGUUGGUUACCAGGUAAAGCGUUCGAGGCUUUGAGGGGCAGAAUAAACCAUGCCCUGAGCGAAGGCGCGACUUCAUGAUGUCAUACUUCCAAGAAAAGCUCGUACUACCCAUAAACAAUUUGCACCUGUACCCUAAACCGACACAGGUAGGUAGGUAGAGAAUACUAAGGAGCGCGAGAUAACUCUCUCUAAGGAACUCGGCAAAAUGGCCCCGUAACUUCGGGAGAAGGGGUGCCCCCUCGGGGGUCGCAGUGACCAGGCCCAAGCGACUGUUUAUCAAAAACACAGGUCUCCGCAAACUCGCAAGAGGACAUAUGGGGGCUGACGCCUGCCCAGUGCUGGAAGGUUAAGGAAGUGGGUCAGGCUUAGGCCGAAGCUCGCGACCGAAGCCCCAGUGAACGGCGGCCGUAACUAUAACGGUCCUAAGGUAGCGAAAUUCCUUGUCGGGUAAGUUCCGAC
rnacentral:rRNA from 13 species